rnacentral:rRNA from 1 species
UGGUCAAGUUAUUAAGGGUGCAGGGCGGAUGCCUUGGCACUAGGAGCCGAUGAAGGACGUGAUAAGCUGCGAUAAGCUUCGGGGAGUUGCACGUAAACUUUGAUCCGAAGAUUUCCGAAUGAGGAAACUCACUUAGAGUAAUGUCUAAGUAUCAUUAAGUGAAUACAUAGCUUAAUGAGGGGAACUCAGGGAACUGAAACAUCUAAGUACCUGAAGGAAGAGAAAGAAAUUCGAUUCCGUAAGUAGCGGCGAGCGAACGCGGAUUAGCCCAAACCAAUAAAGUUUUCUUUAUUGGGGUUGCGGACAUAUCAUAACGAAGAGGUAUCGUAAUUGAAGAGGUUUGGAAAGACCCACCACAGAAGGUAAUAGUCCUGUAUGUUAAACGAGAAGACUUUAGAUAUGAUCCAGAGUACCACGGGACACGUGAAACCCUGUGGGAAGCAGGAGGGACCACCCUCCAAGGCUAAAUACUACCUAGUGACCGAUAGCGUAUAGUACCGUGAGGGAAAGGUGAAAAGAACCCCGGGAGGGGAGUGAAAUAGAACCUGAAACCCUGCACUUACAAGCUGUGGAAGCACAUUUCUUGUGUGACCGCGUACUUUUUGUAGAACGGGCCAACGAGUUACGUUAAGUAGCAAGGUUAAGCAAUUAAGGUGCGGAGCCGUAGCGAAAGCGAGUUUUAACUGAGCGUUCAGUUACUUGACGUAGACCCGAAACCGGGCGACCUACCCAUGAGCAGGAUGAAGCGAAAGUAAAAUUUCGUGGAGGUCCGAACCCACGAGCGUUGAAAAGCUCGGGGAUGACUUGUGGGUAGCGGUGAAAUUCCAAUCGAGCCCGGAGAUAGCUGGUUCUCCCCGAAAUAGCUUUAGGGCUAGCCUCAAGGUGAGAGAUACGGAGGUAGAGCACUGAAUGUCCUAGGGGGUAUUGCACCUACCGAAGACUAUCAAACUCCGAAUGCCGUCAUCUUAUACUUGGGAGUCAGACUGUGGGUGAUAAGAUUCAUAGUCGAAAGGGCAACAGCCCAGAUCGUCAGCUAAGGUCCCUAAAUGUAAGUUAAGUGGUAAAGGAUGUGGGAUUGCACAGACAACCAGGAUGUUGGCUUAGAAGCAGCCACUCAUUCAAAGAGUGCGUAAUAGCUCACUGGUCGAGUGAUCCUGCGCCGAAGAUUUCCGGGGCUAAAACUUACUACCGAAGCUACGGCAUCAGUAAUGAUGGGUAGGGGAGCUUCCCAUACGGGUUGAAGCAUGACCGUAAGGACAUGUGGACAGUAUGGGAGUGAGAAUGUUGGCAUGAGUAGCGAGAUGUGGGUGGGAAUCCCACAGGCCGUAAACCCAAGGUUUCCAGGGGAAGGUUCGUCCGCCCUGGGUUAGUCGGGACCUAAGCUGAGGCCGAAAGGCGUAGGUGAUGGACAACAGGUUGAUAUUCCUGUACUACCGAUAACCGUUUGAGAGAAGGGAUGACACAGUAGGAUAAGCUAAGCACACUGUUGGUUAUGUGUGCCCAAGCAUUGAGGCAGUCAAAGUAGGCAAAUCCGCUUUGAUAAUGCUGGGAUGUGAUGGGGAGCGAAAUUUAGUAGCGAAGUAGCUGAUUUCACACUGUCAAGAAAAGUCUCUAUCGAGGUUAAAGGUACCCGUACCGCAAACCGACACAGGUGGGUGAGGAGAGUAUCCUAAGGCCAGCGAGAGAACUGUUGUUAAGGAACUCGGCAAAAUGACCCCGUAACUUAGGGAUAAGGGGUGCCACCAUCAGGUGGCCGCAGAGAAUAGGCCCAAGCGACUGUUUACCAAAAACAUAGGUUUCUGCUAAGUCGCAAGACGAUGUAUAGGAGCUGACGCCUGCCCGGUGCUGGAAGGUUAAGGGGAUCUGUUAGAGCAAUCGAAGCAGUGAACUUAAGCCCCAGUAAACGGCGGCCGUAACUAUAACGGUCCUAAGGUAGCGAAAUUCCUUGUCGGGUAAGUUCCGACCCGCACGAAAGGCGUAACGAUUUGGGCACUGUCUCAACAACAGACUCGGUGAAAUUGUAAUUCCGGUGAAGAUGCCGGAUACCUGCGACAGGACGGAAAGACCCCAUGGAGCUUUACUGUAGCUUGACAUUGGGUCUUGGUACUACAUGUACAGGAUAGGUGGGAGGCUUUGAAACCAGGACGCCAGUUUUGGCGGAGCCAUCCUUGGGAUACCACCCUUGUAGUACUGGGACUCUAACCAUAGGCCAUGAAUCUGGUCUUGGGACACUGUCAGGUGGGCAGUUUGACUGGGGCGGUCGCCUCCCAAAAGGUAACGGAGGCGCUCAAAGGUUCUCUCAGUACGGUCGGAAAUCGUACGUAGAGUGUAAAGGCAAAAGAGAGCUUGAUUGCAAGACAUACAGGUCGAGCAAGGAUGAAAAUCGGACUUAGUGAUCCGGUGGUUCUGCGUGGAAGGGCCAUCGCUCAACGGAUAAAAGCUACCCUGGGGAUAACAGGCUUAUCUCCCCCAAGAGUCCACAUCGACGGGGAGGUUUGGCACCUCGAUGUCGGCUCAUCACAUCCUGGGGCUGUAGUAGGUCCCAAGGGUUGGGCUGUUCGCCCAUUAAAGUGGUACGCGAGCUGGGUUCAGAACGUCGUGAGACAGUUCGGUCCCUAUCCGUCGCAGGCGUAGGAAAUUUGAGAAGACCUGUCCUUAGUACGAGAGGACCGGGAUGGACGUACCUCUGGUGUACCAGUUGUCCUGCCAAGGGCAUGGCUGGGUAGCUAUGUGCGGAAUGGAUAAGCGCUGAAAGCAUCUAAGCGCGAAGCCAACUUCAAGAUAAGAUUUCCCACCGCAAGGGUAAGACCCCAGAAAGACUAUCUGGUUGAUAGGUCGAAGGUGUAAGUGCAGCAAUGUAUUUAGCUUAUCGAUACUAAUAGGUCGAGGACUUGACCAAU